rnacentral:rRNA from 1 species
UGACAUCUGACCUCAAAUCAGGUAGGACUACCCGCUGAACUUAAGCAUAUCAAUAAGCGGAGGAAAAGAAACUAACAAGGAUUCCCCUAGUAACUGCGAGUGAAGCGGGAAAAGCUCAAAUUUAAAAUCUGGCGGUCUUUGGCUGUCCGAGUUGUAGUCUGGAGAAGCGUUUUCCGCGCUGGACCGUGUACAAGUCCCUUGGAAUAGGGCGUCAUAGAGGGUGAGAAUCCCGUCUUUGACACGGACUACCAGUGCUUUGUGAUGCGCUCUCAAAGAGUCGAGUUGUUUGGGAAUGCAGCUCAAAAUGGGUGGUAAAUUCCAUCUAAAGCUAAAUAUUGGCGAGAGACCGAUAGCGAACAAGUACCGUGAGGGAAAGAUGAAAAGCACUUUGGAAAGAGAGUUAAACAGUACGUGAAAUUGCUAAAAGGGAAACGCUUGAAGUCAGUCGCGUUAUGCAGAACUCAGCCUGGCUUUUGCUUGGUGUAUUUUCUGUAUGACGGGCCAGCAUCAAUUUUGGCCGCUGGAAAAAGGCCUCAGAAAUGUGGCACCUUCGGGUGUGUUAUAGUCUGAGGUCAUAUACAG